rnacentral:rRNA from 1 species
AGUUUGAUCCUGGCUCAGGAUGAACGCUGGCGGCGUGCCUAACACAUGCAAGUCGAACGAAGCACUUAGGUGGAAUCCCUCCGGGGAGGAAGCCUCUGUGACUGAGUGGCGGACGGGUGAGUAACGCGUGGACAACCUACCCCGCACUGGGGGACAACAGCCGGAAACGGCUGCUAAUACCGCAUAUGCGCACAGCCCCACAUGGGGCGGUGCGGAAAGCCUUGUGCGGUGCGGGAUGGGUCCGCGUCUGAUUAGCUGGUUGGCGGGGUAACGGCCCACCAAGGCGACGAUCAGUAGCCGGCCUGAGAGGGUGGACGGCCACAUUGGGACUGAGACACGGCCCAGACUCCUACGGGAGGCAGCAGUGGGGGGUAUUGCACAAUGGGGGCAACCCUGAUGCAGCGACGCCGCGUGAGCGAUGGAGUACUCCGGUAUGUAAAGCUCUGUCAGCAGGGAAGAGAAUGACGGUACCUGACCAAGAAGCCCCGGCUAAAUACGUG